UACAGAGGGUGCAAGCGUUGUUCGGAAUUAUUGGGCGUAAAGGGCGCGUAGGCGGUGCGGUAAGUCUGCAGUGAAAUCUCUGGGCUCAACUCAGAGUCUGCUGUGGAAACUGCCGUGCUUGAGUGUGGGAGAGGUGAGUGGAAUUCCCGGUGUAGCGGUGAAAUGCGUAGAUAUUGGGAGGAACACCAGUGGCGAAGGCGGCUCACUGGACCGGUACUGACGCUGAGGCGCGAAAGCGUGGGGAGCAAACGGG
rnacentral:rRNA from 1 species